GGGGGUGACUGGUUUCGACUUGGGACGGUAGUCCCAGGAGAAGCGGGCCGAGGAUCCAGACUCAACUCGUAAACGAUCGUCUGGAAACCAAUAAGUGCCGAAAACAAGCGCACUGACUUCGCCCUCGCCGCCUGAUCGGUAGAGCCGAAGGGUCAGCCCGGAUGUGCCUUCCGUCCGGUUCCUGGCCUCAUCCAGAAGGCUGACCGCCGCGUCCUCGUUUCAGGGACGUAGCGGGACAUUUCAUGAAACUGGGCUCGUCUGCGACAUGUCGUCGUGAGCGCAGGAGCCGAGAAACCGCUGAGACGACUGCGCCCGGAGAAUACCUGGUUCGCCUUUCAAGGACGCGGGUUCGAUUCCCGCCACCUCCACCG
rnacentral:tmRNA from 1 species